CAUCAUUCCACCCUGUUGGUGGAGGCUGCCUGGCCCCGCCCUGUAAAAGGAAGUGGAAGCCUUCACUUCCUGUUUGACAGUCUGACCUUUCACCUGAGCUGGUUUGGAUGGAGGAAGCACAUGGAGCCAACAUUUGGAAGCUCAUAACCUCCUCCAUUUACCUCCUGAGAAGCCAGGGAGGGACACGGCCCCCUCACCCACUCUCUGCAGCACGACUAGCUCUUCUCUCCAGUUCGUAGCUCAGGCAGGACUUUGACCCAGGAACUCCACCAUUAGCAUCUUCUGGUCAAAGACAGUUCCUCCACACCAUCUGGCCUGCUCCCCUCUCAUCUCUCUUCUCUUAGUACUUUUCAGCUUCUCACUUUGAACCCUGAACUCCUAAAAUACCGACUCUGAGAUUCUUCUCAACAAAUCUGCUCCUAAAUGGUUCCUGAUAAGAAGAUGAACCCAGACUUUCUAGAAUCUCCACCCUACAGUCUAUCAUGUUGAGCUACUGGUUCACACUGGUUAAACUCUUUGAAAUGUUGUUCAAAGUUACCUCAAAUUGAUUAGUUUUGGUUUUUAAAAACAUCGACCUUCUCCGUCUGGAUCCCAUGACCUCCAUGUGGCUGACCUCUGAGGAAACACCGUGAGCUAUCCAACCAGACACUUUGUUAUUGUAUCCUAAAGCCUUUCAGUCAUGACCUCUGACCUAUUGGCUCAAUCUGAUGGAUGGAUCUGACAGCAGCUGGUUUAUCAACUAAUGUGAAUUUUUUUGUCAACUUUACUAACUAAUGUCAAGUUGAGUUCCAUUGAUAAAAUAAUAGAAAAAUGUCUAAAGCUGUUGAACUAUUUCAACAUCAUUCAUGCUAAAGAUGUAUUAAUAUAAGCUCUUUGGUCAAUUGAGGACUUGAACUAGGACACUAGGAGGUCUCAGUACUUUAGUCUAUCACACUGAGCUGUCAGCUCCUUCAGGUUUGCUGUCUUUUUUUGGACUUUUAUCUUUUUAUUUCCACAGUUGGACUGAAGUUAAUGUCACCACAGACUUUGAUCUUUGCUGUCUGAGCUUUAUUCCCUCCCUUCCUCCCCUUCUAUUAUGUUCUCACACAUUGAAAUCAUGCUGGGGUUUGGUUAUCUGCUGGCUUUCAGCUCAACAGUGUUUGGCUCCAGCUGGAAGACAUGGUUGAACUUUCUGAAGGUAAAUGUGAAUUUGUAUCCAGUAACAGAUCAUUUCUAUAUCCGCCGGCCAAGGAAUCAUUUUAUGUGUGUUUACUGUAACCUUCUGUUUUUAUUUGCUUUUAUUCAUGCUGUCGUUUUUUACAGCUCUUACUUUUAGAGCAGUGGGUGGAAAUUUGUUGCUGUUGUGUUAUUUGACUUGUUUUAUUUUUAGUCUAAAUAUUUGAAUAAAAACACAUCAUGAAAAAUGAA